CAAAAAAUUUCUUUUCCCUGUAAAAAUAAUAAAGCCCUAAAUGAUGUUAAGAGUUCUUCUCCUCAGUCCCAUACAAAAGGAUCUUAUCUUCUAAUCUACGAUUGGUUAAUGAUGGGAUCAUGUCUGUAUACUUAUUUGAAGGUUAUGGAGGUGGAGCCGCUGGAUUAAAGCUUUCAAGGGAAGGCGAGAUUUUGUUCUUUGCACGUUGCUUCUUUGCCGUUUUUUCCCUUCCUUUUUCUUGCGGCUUAGGGUUUUGUCGUUGCAUGUUCCUUGAGAGCGUAACAGUUGAUGCUGAUAACUACUGCGAUUCUGGAGCUUUAUGGCAACGAAAAAUACUUAUAAGAGGUGUAGUGAAAUAAUCUUUUUCCGUUUUCUUUAGAUAUUUCAUUGAUUUUAUUUAUUGCAGAUGUCUUUCUUUUGUGAAGCAUUUAGUUACGGGUGUUGGUGAUACAUUUUAUCGUCUUCAUGGGUGACCCGAUAAAAUUAAUUUUUCUUUUUUUAUUUUCAAUUUAGGGUUUUUUUUUGGGUUUGAUUUUAAUCCUAUUGCUUCUCUUUUUCUUGUGCGAAAAGAGGAUUUGAAGAUUGAAGACACUCGAUACAUGGAUGAGGAAAUAAAUUUUUCUUCAUUUUCUUUUCAUAUGGAUUUUUUUGUUUUGUUUAUAUAUUUCUUUGUUAUGAUUUUAAUCCUCUGACUAUCCUACUUCAUUUUUAUUGUUGACUUGCUGGUUUAAUUAAUCAGCAAAAAAAAUUCGCAAGGCGGAAACUUGAUGGUGAAGUUUAACGAAAGAAUUUGGAAACACGUCCAUCCAGAGCGCAGAAUUCGGUUAUAAUGAAAAAAGUGACAGUCUAUCUUCCAAAGUCAAUUUUCUCUCAUGGGAAAUUACGUUGCAGUAUCAACGACAACGAGCCAAGAAAGAACGGAUUCUGAUAUACUGCUUGAGAAACGAAGAAUGAUGUACCCGAAAAUUUUAUUUAGAAUGUUAUCUACGAAGAACCAAACUUGUGUUAAAGUUAGAAAUCUUUUCUAUUAUGAGAUCAGAUUUUUUGUUGUCGGAAGUAUUGUUUUAGGUUUGCAAUCUUGAGUGCUUAUUUCUUGGAGAAUUUAUUUUGGCAACUAUU